rnacentral:lncRNA from 1 species
GCUAUGUCAAGCAGGUUGAUCCUAAGAAAAUGGGGAUGAGGAAGGAAAAGCUAAGUCAUUUUCGAUUUUAUUGGCACGAUAUUGUGAGUGGUCCUAAUCCAAGCUCAAUUCAAGUAGUUUCACCUCCUACAAACUCAACAACUGCAUUUGGUUUGAUAAAUAUGAUUGAUAAUCCUUUAACUGUUGGGCCUAAAUUAAGCUCAAAAAUGGUUGGAAAGGCUCAAGGACUUUACACGUCUGCAUCGCAAGAAGAAAUUGGAUUGUUGAUGAUUAUGAACUUUGCAUUCAUUGAUGACAAGUAUAAUGGUAGCACAUUUACUGUAUUGGGUCGGAACACAGUACUUUCUAAGGUGAGAGAGAUGUCAGUGAUCGGCGGUAGUGGACUUUUCCGAUUUGCUAAAGGCUAUGUUCAAGUAAAAACUUACACAUUCAAUAGCACCACAAAAGAUGCCACGAUUGAGUAUAAUGCUUAUGUUUUGCAUUAUUAAACCUUUUUUUUUUCUAAGAUUUUUUUGUAUUGUGUUGUGGCCCACUAUUAUGACAAUUUAAAUCAUUAUGUUCCCACCAUAUGCUAAGUGGGGUCCUUUGAUGUUGCUUAAUUUAAUUAAAUCACGUAUUUGAGUAGAAAAAUUAUUUUCUCAAAAUAUUUUGAAAUAAAUUAUAUUUUGAAUAUCAGUACAAAAGUUUACUUUUUCCGUACCUACCAAAAAACACCACUAAUUAAGUGGUAUCUUAUGCACAUUUUCAAGUCUUAUUAUUCAUACUCAAGUUCCAUUUGCCUUUACCCUUGUACCUUAGUCUCAUUCAUUCGUAGGCUUCAAUUUCACGACCAUAUAUAUUCAAUAGUUUAGAUUUUUUGUUUUAUAGGUACCAUAGUGGUGGUACCUAAGCAUUUUCCUUUGAAUAUAAAUGGUUUGAGGAUAAAGAGAUUUAAGGUAUUAUAUCUUAAUUUUUGGAAUAAUUAAUGUUUAAAAAAUUAAAGAUUUAAGUUAUCGUAUCUUAGUUUUUUUUAAUUAUUGAUGUUCAAAAAUUAAUCUGCACUAUUAAAACUUAAUCAAAAAAUAAAUUAUCAAACAUUCAAAAAUUGAUAAUUUAAAUUUUGUUUUAGAUAAUCUAAAAUGUAAAAGGUUUCACCAAACAACUUCUUUGAUGAGAUAUUUAAUUUUUCAUUUAACAAUAAUCCUCAUGUCCAAGCAAAGAUCUCAAAUGAACUUCUCUUGAGAAAGUAACACACCCCCUAAAAUACAGGUCUACACUAAAGCACAGUAAAACACACUAAACAAGAAGUCAUAUGAGUAUAAAUGACUUUAUUACUCACACCAUUGACACUAAGACUAAAGAUAAAACGAUAUAUUGAAGCUACCAAAACCAAAAGAAAUAGGGUUUUUUAGUUGUUUAUUUACUUUUUUACUUUCUCGUAUUUCAAAAAUAUUAUUAUCAAAUUGUGAAAUAUGUUUUAAAAUGUUAAAAUUUUGUUUAAAAAUUAAAAUAAAAGAUGUUUUAAAAUGUUAAAAUUUUGUUUAAAAAUUAAAAUAAAAGAUAGGUCUUGUUUGGACACACUUUUUGUUAGUUGCUUUUUAAAAACAAAAAUAAUAAUAAUAAUAAUUUUUAUAUGAAAAGAAUAAACCUUUUUAGACUAAUUUUAUAUCUUUUAAAAUUACUUUAAAUUUUUUUUUAAAUAUGAGGUGGUAAAUAUUGUUAAUAUCUUAACUCUUUAUUUUUUAACCAUUUUUAGAAAUUAUUAUAUAUUCAAUGUAAACGUAUAAAAGUUCUUGCAUUUUAUAUUGAAGUUAUUACUGUUAAAAACGAAAUAAUAGAAAAUGUAUCCAAAUCGACACUAGUACAUAGAAACAACAUAAUUUCAUCCUAAUAGCAACUACUUUCAUAUUUAAAUACAAAUUAAACAUUAUACCAAAUACAAUUUUUACUACAUAUGAAAUCCUUCAAAUCUUCUAACUUAAAAAUUUACUAUUAAUAGCACACUCAUACUAAGAUGUGGAAAAAUAAGCUUUACGGUAAAUGAAAUUUGGGUUUGGUAAACUCAAAUAUAUAAUAAAUAGGUGAUCGAGAAAAGAAAUAAGUAAGAGUUCAAUUCAAGUAUAUUCCCCUUAAACUAAUAAGUAAGAGUCUAAUUUAAGCAUGGAACAUUCUUGAUUAUAAAACGUCAAUCAAAAAUCAAAACUUUCUACCACCUUUGAAGAUUAAAUUAACCAAAUAUCAAAAAUAAAAAUAAAAAGCUUAUGGAUUCAUCACUGCCCUUGGUUGGUGAUUUACUUUUUGGCUUUCUUUAAUCCGUAGGCAUUCAUUAAUUAGCAAUAUAUUAAUAUGACUUUUUCAUUAAACAAGUAGAAUAAUUCCAUUAUCAAUAUCUUUUAAGAUUUCCACCAACUAUAAGUAAAUUAAUAUCUUUACUUUUCCCUCCUAUGACAAUGGGUUUUCUCCCAAUCCAAACACAUGCCAAGAAGUUCCAAUUUAAAAUAUAUUAAACAAUGUUUUUUUCCCUAAGAAUUAGGAAACCUUAAACCCAAAAAGAAUGAGUAUGAACCCUCAACUUACAUUUGAAUCAACUAUAAGUAAAUUAAUAUCUUUACUUGUCCUCCCUAUGACAAUGGAUUUUCUCUCCAUCCAAACACAUGCCAAGAAGUCUCAAUUUAAACCUAUUAAACAAUGUUUCUUUUCCCUUUCCUUGUAAGAAUUAGGAAACCUUAAACCCUAGAAGGGUUGCUCAAUUCAUAGUGACAACGAUUGAGUCAUCCUCUUUCUUUUUAAAUCCUCACUUGGCAUUUGCUUCAAUUGGAUGCCCUGCCAAUCACUAUAAGCCAAAAAGGAAAAUGGCAGGUUUCACUCAAAAAUUCUUCACUCACAAGCAUUAAACACUAGGAUGACAAUUGAACAUUUCUCAGCUUUUUGUCUGAAGGUUGUAUUCCCACUCAAAAAAUUCAUUUUCUUAUCCAUUAAACUUUAAAAAAAAAAAAAAUGCCAUUGUGUAAAUAGAUGAAAAUACUCCCUUUAUUCUUUCCACCCAAAUGAAGGGUUUAUUUGACAAUAUAUUCAAAUAUAAUUUUUAAAAUAAUUUUCAAUUGCUUUAGGAAUAAAUUCCUACUUAGGAAUUUAUAUAUAGAAAUUGUACAAAAUAAUUUUUAUAUUUUCAAUUAUUUCUUAAAAUAUUAUAAAAACAAUACCUUAAAAUAUGUUCUAAAAAACCAUUUUCAAAACAAGGUUUUAAAAAAUUAUUUUAAAUAAAUGGAAUAUUGGUAAUGAAAUAAAAGCUUCAAAUGAAAAGUUUAAGGGUGAAGGGUUCAAAUGAGAGAGAAAGUGUACUUAUUUCUGGUGAAUUUUGGGUUGGGUGGGUGAGAAAAUAAAAUUUUGGAUUUAGCGGAAAUGGAAAAGAUGGGGCUGGAUGUAAUUUCCCUUUCUAGGCGUGAUGUAGGCUUUUGGGCCCACCACUUUAAACACUAUGGCCCACUCCCGUACUGUCUAGAAAGGUUAGGCCCAACCACCCUUUCCAGGUAUUCCUUCCCAGUGACUUGCAAAUUACCCAAAACAACCAAGGGCCUAAGGCGCAAACCCCAUGAAAUGGAUGGGCAUUUUAGUCAUUUUGAAUAAAAAGCAUCCCUGUGCUGUGCCUUGUGAAGAUGGUAACUAUCAUGACUUGAAUUUUUUAAAAAAAAAUGGUGGGCCUUAUUGUAAAGGAUAUGAACCACUCACUUUAUAUAUAGUCCAAUUGUUGUUCUCAAAGAGAGUGCAUUGUGGCCAUGGCUAGGGCUCUCUCCAUUUCAUCUUCCAACCUUUUCUUCUCCUUCAUCUUUCUCAUAUUCUCUCAUGCCACAAUCCCAAUUCUCGGGGAAGAAUAUAGCUAUGUCAAGCGAGUCGAUCCCAAGAAAAUAGGGAUGAGGAAGGAAAAGCUAAGUCAUUUUCGAUUUUACUGGCAUGAUAAUGUUAGCGGCCGUAAUCCGACCUCUAUUCAAGUAGUUGCACCACCUACCAACUCAACGACUGCGUUUGGUUUGGUAAAUAUGAUCGAUAAUCCAUUAACCAUUGAGCCUAAAUUGAGCUCAAAAAUGGUUGGAAAGGCUCAAGGGCUUUAUACCUCUGCAUCGCAAGAAGAAAUUGGACUACUAAUGAUUAUGAACUUUGCAUUCUUUGAUGGUAAGUAUAAUGGUAGCACAUUCACUGUAUUAGGACGGAAUACGGUAUUUUCUAAAGUGAGGGAGAUGUCAGUGAUCAGUGGCAGUGGACUUUUCCGAUUUGCUAGAGGUUAUGUUGAACUUAAAACUUAUUCGGUAAAUUUAACCACAAGAGAUGCUAUAGUUGAGUAUAAUGCUUAUGUUUUGCAUUAUUAAACUUCUUUCCAUUUUUUCCAAGCUUUUGUUGAGCUUUGGCUGCUAUUGUGACAACUUGAAUCAUUAUGUUCCCACCAUGUGCUAAGUGGGGCCCUUUGAUGUUUGAUUUAAUUAAAUUAUGUGUUUGAGUAGUAUAAUUGUUUUCUCAAAAUAUUUUUUAAUAAAUUUUGUUUUGAAUAAAAGUGGUUCGAGGAGAAAGAUUAAGGUAUUCUAUCUCAAUUUUUUGAAUCACUAAUGUUUAAAAUUAAUAUUGACUAUUAAAAUUCAAUCAUAAAAUUCAUUAUCACACAUUCCAAAUUUGAUAGUUAAAAUUUUGGUUCAAAAAAUCUAAAAUGCAAAAGGUUUAGCAGUGAUAAUUCUGAUCAAUUUUGUAGUUUAUUUUUUUAAAUUGAUAAGAAAAUUUGGUUGAUUAUAAUCUCCAGGCAACUUUAGUAUUCAUUUUGGAUUGAUAAAUGUUAGUCCAUGAUUCAUCCUUUAAUUUAAUGAGCUUGAAGAUACUAGGCCUUGACCUAGUAUAGUGCCCUAAACUAAAAGGGUGACAAUUCGUAUUGUUGGGUCAUAAUCCAAUCGAGAAAGGCUAUAUGUAUAUAUUCAAUAAAGUCUCUCCUAAAUCUUGAACUUCAUGCACGGAGGUAUAAAUUUUUUAUUUUUUCUAUUUUUAAAUAUGAAAUUAUAGGUGCUAGAUGUGGUUUAUUCACUAAAACCAUUAUAUAAUUUAUGACAUUGGUUUAUUUUAAUUUUGUAUAUAGACUAUAAGGACCCAUUUAGCCUUAUUUUUUAAACUUGUUUUUAAAAACUAGUGAAAAUAAUUUAUACUUGUUCUUUAAAAAUUGUUCUCUAUUUUGCUUUAUUUUUAAAAAUUGUUUCUAAAGAAUAACAAUCAAACAAUUUUAAAAAAUUUUAAAAACAGUUCUCCAUUUUAAAAAAUAAAAAAACUGUUUUUAAAUCAUAUGGCCAAAUAAGCUCUAAAAGCCUUCAACCCUUAAUAUCUUUUAACUUAAAAAUCUCACCAUUAGAUAAUAUUCUCAUUUUAGAAGAUACAAAUCACAUGUUAGAAAUAAACUAGAAUCAUAUUAUUAUUUAUUGUAAUGAGAUACACUUUAUAUCUUAUUUGAUGAAGCUUAAGAAAUCAUAUACAAAUUAUUAAUUAAUUAAUUAAUUAAUAUUUUGUUAGUGUAACCUUAUCAUUAUACAAAUAAAAUAUUUUUAUUAUUUUCAUUUUCAAAAUUUAAAAAUUAAAGAAAUCAAAAGAAAAUUUCUUAAUUUUUCAACUAAUAAAAUUCCUUUUAUCAAAAAGAGAACAUCAACAAAUUGUGAAGUUACAUAUUUUUAUUUAUUUUAAUAGUCGAUAUUUUUUUAAGAUGUAUCAAUUAUUAUGUACAUUAAAAUGCAUUUAAAGGUGAUUUUAUUUGAAAUAUUUUUAAUAAAAGUAUUUUAAAAAAAAUAUUUUUAGAAAAAUUAGUUAUCAAUUAUGAAACAUUAUAAAUAAUUUUUUAGUUUUUAAAAUAUUUUCUAAAAUUUUUAAAUGUGGAAAUUUUUUUAAGUUAAAAAUAUUUUCUAAAAUGACUAUGAAAUGGAAUCUUAAUAUUCUUACUAGUUCCUCCAAAAUAAUGGAGUGUCUUUUUCCCACGUAAAACCUAGAAAACUCUGAACCCAAAAUUUGAUGCUCAGAACGACGUGGGCAAGGGGGAAGAAUGAAAGUCAAGUCAUUUUCUUUAUUUUUAAAAUCCUCAUUUCAAUUGGGUGGGUGUCAUACCUGGAAAUUGCACCACACCUACCUUCACUAAUGAUAAAAGCACAAUUUUGGGCCCACCACAACAAACAUUAGGGCCCACUUUGAUGGGGGCAGGCCUUAUUUUCUAGAAAAAGUUAGCCCAACCACUCCAUUGUCUGUCCAUGAUUUCCCACGUCCCAUUAAAAAAAAGGCGUGCUAUUCCAGGUCAAUAAGACUUGCAAAUUACCCAAAACCACCAAGGGCCCAAGGCACCGAACCCCAUAAGAUGGAGGGGCAUUUUGGUCAUCUCGAAAUAUAUAUAUACCGCCUAGGUUUUGUGAACAAAUGGGAUGCAUUGUGGCCGGCAAAGGGUGUGCAUUGUGGUCAUGGCUAGAGCUCUCCUCAUCUCACCUUCCUUCUUCAUCUUCUUCAUCUUUCUCAUUUUCUCUUCUGCCAAGAUCCCAGUUUUCGGAGAAGAAUAUAGCUAUGUCAAGCGUCUCAAUCCUAAGAAAAUGAAGAUGUUGAAGGAAAAGUUAAGUCAUUUUCGACUUUAUUGGCAUGAUAUUCUUAGUGGGUCUAAUCCAACCUCAAUUCCAGUAGUUAAACCGGUGAAUAACUCAUCAACAUUCUUUGGUUCAAUAAAUAUGAUCGAUAAUCCAUUAACCAUUGAGCCAAAAUUAAACUCAAAAAUGGUUGGAAAGGCCCAAGGGUUUUAUGCGUCUGCGGGACAAGAAAAUUUUGGAUUGUUGAUGGUUAUGAAUUUUGCAUUCAACGAUGACAAGUAUAAUGGUAGCACAUUUACUGUGAUAGGACGAAAUGAUGUUUUUUCUAAGGUGAGGGAAAUGGAGAUAGUUGGUGGCAGUGGGCUUUUCCGAUUUGCUACAGGUUAUGUUCAAGCAAAAACUUACAUGUUCGGUACCAAUGGAGAUGCCAUUGUCGAAUACAAUGCCUAUGUUUUACAUUAUUGAUAUUUUUCCUUUUUUUAACUUUUCAGUCGAGCUUUGUUCCACAGUGAUAGACUUGAAUUGUUGUGUGUUCCCACUGUAGCUAAGUGGGGUUCUCUAGUUUUGCUUAAUUUAAUUAAAUUAAGUUACUCUUACUUUACCUAAUUUAUUGUAAGCAUGCAAUAAUAAAAUAAAAUUUAAGUAUCACGUAUAGUUUGAUUUAGAAUUUAUUUGUUUAUUUAAAUUUUUUAGAGAAGUUACAAAAAUAGAAAAAAAAAAACACAUGUAAUUCAAAGAAAAUCAUAUUUGAAAAUUCUCGAUGAUAGUGAUAGAUCGUGUAGAGAGAAGAAAAAUAAGACCAUAUUCAAUUUUAUUUGUUUCUUAUGAUUUUCUUAAUUUUCUUAUGUUCCUCUAUUGUUUAAAAAACUAGUGAAAAUGAUUCUUUAUUUCACUUUGUUUUUUUAAAAAUGAAAAUAGAGAACAACAACUGAAUAAGGUUAUGAAUUUUUUAAAAACAAAUAUUUGUUUUUAAAAUAGAAAACUAUUUUUUAAAUCACAUGGUCAAACAUGUUAUAAUAGUUUAAAAUUUUGUUUUAAAAAAAUGGAAGUAUAUAUAUGAAAAAAAAAAAAUUACAGCUUGAAAGUGAUUUUUAAAGAUUAAGUACAGCAAAACAACAUUUUAUAUGGAAUUUAUUAGUAUUUUUAUUUUUAAAAUAAAAAAAUAGAAAUUCAAAUUUUUGUUUUUAAAAGUUUUAAAAUAGAAAACAAAAUUAUACCCAAAUAACACCUUUUAAGUUUGUAAUUUACUAAAAGUUCAUCAGUCAAGAUUCCUAAAACUCUAUUACGUCAUAGUCCCACACAACUCAAGAAAGGUUAUAUCCAUAUAUUCAAGAUGACCUCCUAAAUCUUGAUCUAUAUGCAUGGAGGUAUAAAUUUUUUAUAAAUAAUUUUUUAUUUUUAAAAACAAAAACCUAUUUUUAAAUCACACAAUCAAACAGAUUGGAAGCCUUCAAUCCUUAAUAUCUUUUAACUUAAAAUCUUACCAUUAGAUAACAUUGCUUUAGAAUUUAUAAAUCAUGUAUUAUAAGUAAACUAAAAUCAUAUUAUUGUUGAUAGUAAUGAGAUACACUUUAUAUCUUAUUUGAUAAAGGUUAAGAAACCAUAUACAAAUUAUUAAUUAAUUAAUAAUUUAUUAAUGUAACCUUAUCAUUAUACAAAUAAAAUAUUUCUAUUAUUUCCAUUUUCAAAAUUUAAAACUCAAAGAAGUCAAAAGAAAAUUUCUUAAUUUUUCAACUAAUAAAAUCCCUUUUAUAAAAAAAAGAAAAAAAGAAAAAGAAAGUCAACAAAUCUUGAAAUUUCAAAAUUUUAAGAUAUUAAUGUACCAGUUAUUAAGUAGAUCGAGUAUAUUUAGUAGUGAUUCUAUUUGAAGUACUUUAGUAAAAGUGUUUUUUCUAAAAAUGUUUUUAGAAGAAUCGUCCAUUAAUUUCUUUUUUAAGAAACAUUAUAAAUAAUUUGUCAAUUUUUUAAAAAUAUUUUCUAAUUUUAAAUGCCAAAAUAUUUUAAAAUAUAGGGAAAAAUAUAUUUCCAUAUACCUAUAUGAAAAAAACCACAAAAUAAAAAUUUAAGUUUAUAAAAUAUAAAUUUCAAGCACUUAUAUAAAAAUAAUUAGUAUUUCACAUAUUUUCUUUAUCAAAUAUAUUACAUUUGAUCACGUAGAAUAUACCUUUUAAUGAUAUGAGUGUAUUAAAUUUGAAUUAUUUUUAUUUUGUUUUUAUUUUAUAAUUAUUUUUAUAUUAGCUUGUGAAAACCUUUUUUUUUUGUAAGUUAGAAGGAGUUUCUCUCCAUCGAAACACGCAGUGUCUUUUUCCCUUUUCUUGUAAACCCUAGAAAACUCUAAACCCUAAAUUCGGUGCUCAGAAAGACUUGGGCAUGGAAGAAGAGAAUGAAAGUAAAGUCAAUUCCUUUAUUUUUAAAUCCUCAGUUCACUUUUGCUUCCAUUGGGUGGGUGGGUGGGAUACCUGGAAAUUGUAUCAGACCUACCGUCACUCACAAGUCUGAAUUAAAAUGACAAUUUUAUCCAAUAGAAUGGGUUUUGGGGCGACUUUGAUUGCGGGAGGCCUCAUUUUCUAGAAAAGGUUGGCCCAACCACACCAUCCUCUUUCCAUGUUUUUUCUCAACAAACGCGUGCCCAAGUCAAUAAGACUUGCAAAUCACCCAAAACCACCAUAUGCCCAAGGCACCAAACCCCAUAAGAUGGAGGGGCAUUUUUGUCAUUCUCGUUAGAAAUAUUCCCGUUGUGAUGGGUCGGUGCGAUUGGCAAUUAUAACAUCUUUGAAUUUGGAAAAGUGGGCUUUAAUUGUGUGGAAAAUGAACAAUUCAAUAAUUUAUAUAUAUAUCCUAGGUUUUGUGAGCAAAGGGUGUGCAUUGUGGCCAUGGCUAGAGCUCUCCUCAUCUCACCUCCCUACUUCAUCUUCCUUAUCUUUCUCAUUUUCUCUUAUGCCACAAUCCCAACUUUUGGAGAAGAAUAUAGCUAUGUCAAGCGUGUCAAUCCUAAGAAAAUGAAGAUAUUGAAGGAAAAGUUAAGUCAUUUUCGACUUUACUGGCACGACAUUGUUAGCGGGUCUAAUCCAACCUCAAUUCAAGUGGUUAAACCAGUGAAUAACUCGUCAACAUUCUUUGGUUCAAUAAAUAUGAUUGAUAAUCCGUUAACCAUUGGACCAAAGUUGAGCUCAAAACUGGUUGGAAAGGCUCAAGGGUUUUAUUCAUCUGCAGGACAAGAAGAAUUUGGAUUAUUGAUGGUUAUGAAUUUUGUAUUCAUCGAUGGCAAGUAUAAUGGUAGCACAUUCACUGUGUUAGGACGAAAC